CCCAAGGAUGGGGCCGCGGCCGAUCAGGUUGUUGGUGAGGUAAUGGCCCACCAAGCCUUUAACCGGUACGGGCCGUGGGAGCGGUAGCCCGGAGAUGGGCACUGAGACAAGGGCCCAGGCCCUACGGGGCGCAGCAGUCGCGAAAACUUCGCAAUAAGCGAAAGCUUGACGGGGCCAUCCCGAGUGCCAUCUGCUGAGGAUGGCUUUUACCCAGUAUAGAUAGCUGGGAGAAUAAGGAGAGGGCAAGUCUGGUGUCAGCCGCCGCGGUAAUACCAGCUCUCCGAGUUGUAGGGAUGUUUAUUGGGCCUAAAGCAUCCGUAGCCGGCUGGACAAGUCCUCUGUUAAAUCCAGCGACCAAUCGUUGGUCUGCGGGGGAUACUGUCCGGCUAGGGGGCGGGAGAGGCCGUCGGUAUUCUUGGGGUAGGGGUGAAAUCCUAUAAUCCCAGGAGGACCACCAGUGGCGAAGGCUGUCGGCUAGAACGCGCCCGACGGUGAGGGAUGAAAGCUGGGGGAGCGAACCGGAUUAGAUACCCGGGUAGUCCCAGCUGUAAACGAU
rnacentral:rRNA from 1 species